rnacentral:rRNA from 1 species
GAUGAACGCUGGCGGCGUGCCUAAUACAUGCAAGUCGAGCGAACGGACGAGAAGCUUGCUUCUCUGAUGUUAGCGGCGGACGGGUGAGUAACACGUGGAUAACCUACCUAUAAGACUGGGAUAACUUCGGGAAACCGGAGCUAAUACCGGAUAAUAUUUUGAACCGCAUGGUUCAAAAGUAAAAGACGGUCUUGCUGUCACUUAUAGAUGGAUCCGCGCUGCAUUAGCUAGUUGGUAAGGUAACGGCUUACCAAGGCAACGAUGCAUAGCCGACCUGAGAGGGUGAUCGGCCACACUGGAACUGAGACACGGUCCAGACUCCUACGGGAGGCAGCAGUAGGGAAUCUUCCGCAAUGGGCGAAAGCCUGACGGAGCAACGCCGCGUGAGUGAUGAAGGUCUUCGGAUCGUAAAACUCUGUUAUAUGGGAAGAACAUAUGUGUAAGUAACUGUGCACAUCUUGACGGUACCUAAUCAGAAAGCCACGGCUAACUACGUG